AAUAAAAUCUAAAAUUUAAAAGCAAAACAUAAGAAAUAUAUACUUCUUUAUAUAUAAUUAAGUAUUUAAAGUAGCUAUUUAAACUUUAAAUACUUAUUGUUAGAUACCAUAUCAAAAUAAAUAUGAAAUUGAAUAUUUGAAGUAUAUAUUCAUGUUUUAUAUAAUUACAUUGUAUAUUAGUUUGGACAUUUGGACCGGUUUCUUCGGAUAUCUUUUUAGAUUUUUUGGUUUUUUCGGUUUUUCGGGUUACCCGUUCGGGUUUGGUUAAUAACACUUCGGGUUCGGAUAUGUUUUGUACCACCUUACAAGAUCCAUUCGGGUAUUUUUUACUUUUCAGACGGGUACAGAUCGGGUUUUUCGGUUCGGUUCAGAUUUCAGACUAUGGAUUUUAUGCCCAGGCCUAGGUGAAGCAAUGAAACAAGGUUCGUCUUCGUUUCUUUUCUUCAUGUGAGGGCGAGACGGUGACGAUUGUGUUUCUUCUCACGACUUGAAACGGUCUGAUUAUGGCUUCUUCUUUAAUCCCAUUGAUUCGCUCCCCACGAUGUGUAUUCAAAGCGUUGUGUAGAUCUGAGAAGUGGUGUGGGUUUAGUAUAAAUAUAUGUGAGAUUCUUCUCGAAGUCAUCUUCUCUUGAUUAGAAAUCCGGCCGUCGCUCUUCCACCGUCGACGUGUGGCUGCUCAUACCACCCUAAUUUGUACAUGGCUAUGUGUCCCUACUCCCUACUCCCUAGCCCUCCCACUUUCAACAACUUUUAUGAGGUUUGUUCCCAGUGUGUCUGAGUGUAGACUGGUUUUAUAUAAGUACGACAUAAAUUCAGACUCCUUAGGGUGUUUUGUGAUUUCUUCUCCAAUCAAUUCCAAUCUCACUUCGUUUUACAAGAUUUUUUUCAUUGUUGUUUCGGGUGGGUCUAACGGUGAUGGUGAAGCUGAGAUAGUCGCAACGAUUUCCGACAUUGAUGCUGGAUGAGAGUUUCAGAAGAAGAGCAUUGUUGUUGCUAUUUACUUUGACCAAGAUGACGAGAUUGAGUGAUUGUUGAAGUUAUGUCUACGAAUGGACUCUAAUGAGUAUGAGUGUCUGGAGAAAAAAUUCGUGGAUGGUUGGUGAUGAAAAAGCCAAACCUGAAGUAAAAGAUAGGACUAGAAGCACAGGCAUAUGAGAGACGGAGACGAGGAUGGUCGAUGUUCUGAGCCGUCGAGGUUGCACCAACGUUCAUUAUCUAGAGACAGAGAGAGGGAUAUGCAUAGAGAUAUUCAGGAGCACAGAGACGUGAGAGUUAUAGGGCUCGCUAAAAGGGUGGAGAUGAGAAGAUAUAAACGGAAAGAGAAAGUGGCUCUUAUUUUUGAUGCACUGCAGAAGCAGGUGAAAAACUAAGAAAGAUAAACAGGGUUCAUCUUCAAACGAAUCUAUCACCAUUAAUGGAGUUUCAGGAGGUUGUGUGAGGCGAAUUUUCAUGCGGAAUAAUUGGGUCGAGCUUCGUUUGUGUCGGUUCGUUUUGAGAUUCUUCUCCUCCAUUACGUUACGGGAUUCAUCGCCAUUAAGAACUAUCUUUACUUCUUCAAUCCACAACCAGCACGAUUAAUCAUUUAAUGCUUCGUAUUUCUCUUCCAGGCGGUGUAUAUCCACCUAUAAAAGGUUGUCUCCGAUAAAAGCAAAGAGUCGGGUGGGGAUUCUACCAUUACAGCUUUGAGCUAAGCUUCUAAUCUCAGUAUCCUCCACAUCUGCAACCUCAACGCUACAAGCCAUCGAGUCAAAUGUUAAAUCAAGAAAGUACAACAACGACACAAGAAC